CACGUAGGGUGCAAGCGUUGUCCGGAAUUAUUGGGCGUAAAGGGCUCGUAGGCGGUCCGUCACGUCGGGAGUGAAAACUCGGGGCUCAACCCCGAGCCUGCUUUCGAUACGGGCGGACUAGAGGUAGGUAGGGGAGAACGGAAUUCCUGGUGUAGCGGUGGAAUGCGCAGAUAUCAGGAGGAACACCGGUGGCGAAGGCGGUUCUCUGGGCCUUACCUGACGCUGAGGGGCGAAAGCGUGGGGAGCGAACAGG
rnacentral:rRNA from 1 species